GCUACCUCAUGGCGUAGUGGUUAACGCCACUGUUUUUGAAUUUCAUAUCGCGGGUUCAAUCCCGCCAGGUGGCA